rnacentral:rRNA from 1 species
AACGGCCAUACCAUGUUGAAUAUACCGGCUCUCGUUAGAUCACCGAAGUCAAGCAUCAUUGGGCGCGGUCAGUACUUGGGUGGGUGACCACCUGGGAACACCGCGUGCCGUU